rnacentral:rRNA from 1 species
AGAGUUUGAUCCUGGCUCAGGACGAACGCUGGCGGCGUGCCUAACACAUGCAAGUCAAGGGGAAAGUUUUACUUCGGUUUAACGAGUAUACUGGCGGACGGGUGAGUAACGCGUAGGCAACCUGCCCUUUUGAACGGGAUAACCCAGCGAAAGUUGGACUAAUACCGUAUACUGCAUAUAUAUCGCAUGAUUAAUAUGUGAAAGGCUGCUCUUCGGAGCAUCCACAAAAGGAUGGGCCUGCGUUCCAUUAGUUAGUUGGUGAGGUAACGGCUCACCAAGACAGCGAUGGAUAGCUGGUUUGAGAGAGUGAUCAGCCACACUGGGACUGAGAUACGGCCCAGACUCCUACGGGAGGCAGCAGUGAGGAAUAUUGCGCAAUGGAGGAAACUCUGACGCAGCAACGCCGCGUGGGGGAUGAAGUUCUAUGGAGCGUAAACCCCUGUAAGUAGGGACGAAAGGUAGAUAUUCAAAUAGGGUAUUUAUUUGACGGUACCUGCAGAGUAAGCUCCGGCUAACUCCGUGCCAGCAGCCGCGGUAAUACGGGGGGAGCAAGCGUUGUCCGGAUUUACUGGGCGUAAAGGGCGUGUAGGCGGCUUAAUAAGUCAGAUGUUAAAGCCCCCGGCUUAACCGGGGAUCGUCAUUUGAAACUGUUAGGCUUGAGUGCGAGAGAGGGUAGUGGAAUUCCCAGUGUAGCGGUGAAAUGCGUAGAUAUUGGGAAGAACACCAGUAGCGAAGGCGGCUACCUGGCUCGCAACUGACGCUAAGGCGCGAAAGCGUGGGUAGCAAACAGGAUUAGAUACCCUGGUAGUCCACGCUGUAAACGAUGAACACUAGGUGUUGGUUUGCCGCAGGCUGAUCAGUGCCGAAGUUAACGCAUUAAGUGUUCCGCCUGGGGAGUACGAUCGCAAGGUUGAAACUCAAAGGAAUUGACGG